UCUGGGCCAUCUGUGAACCAUCAUCACUGUCCCCAAACUGGCCAGCACAGGCAUCCAGAGGCCACUUGAUUCCAGACAAGACAUCAGGAGGAAAGUCCAGAGACAGCAACCAAAUUCGUCAGGAAGCUGCUUCUGUCCUGUCAGUAGAAAGAGGUCUCUCCUUGGCUGCUGUUCCCUCGCUGUGUGUGACAGAGGGGUCUCUCAGGUGGGGUCCUGAGCUGGAUGCUGGACUGGGUGGGAGAUUCCCAGUGGAUCUUGGUGUUUAAGGAUAUGGCUUCAACAUGGGUGAGCUCCCUGCACCAGCUUUGACUCAGGAUCAUCUUGCUGGAGCAUCCAUAGAAUCACAGGAUCAUGAAGGUUGGAAAAAGCCUCCAAGAUCAUCGAGCCCCACCUUUGGCCAAACACCACCAUGCCCAGCAAACCCAGACAUUCGUCAUGACCAGGUGGCUGCCCAGACAAGGGCCCUCCAUACCCAGAAACCCACCUGCAGGGUAUUUAUCCGUGUUCCUCCCACUCCAGUGAGGUGAGUGCCAGCUCUGACCAAGCUGAGCUGCUGCAGCAUCUCUCUCACUGCUUUGCUUUGCUUGAAUAAACCUGUCAAAGCU